rnacentral:rRNA from 1 species
GACAGAGGUGCCAAGCGUUAGGCGGAAUCACUGGGCGUAAAGCGUGUGUAGGCGGUUCGUUAAGUCGGGUGUGAAAUCCCUGGGCUCAACCCGGGAAUUGCAUUCGAUACUGGCGAGCUAGAGUACGGUAGAGGGCGGCGGAAUUCCGGGUGUAGCGGUGAAAUGCGUAGAUAUCGGGAGGAAUACCAGUGGCGAAGGCGGCUUCCUGGCCUGUUCUUGACGCUGAGGCGCGAAAGCUAGGGUAGCAAACGGG